rnacentral:rRNA from 1 species
UACGGAGGGGGCUAGCGUUGUUCGGAAUUACUGGGCGUAAAGCGCGCGUAGGCGGACCUGCAAGUCGGGGGUGAAAGCCCGAGGCUCAACCUCGGAACUGCCUUCGAUACUGCGGGUCUCGGAGUCCGGGAGAGGUGAGUGGAAUUCCUAGUGUAGAGGUGAAAUUCGUAGAUAAUUUAGGAAGAACACCAGUGGGCGAAAGGCGGCUGCCACUGGCCCGGUACUGACGCGUGAGGCGCGAAAGGCGUGGGGAGCAAACAGG